GACAGAGGGUGCAAACGUUGUUCGGAUUUACUGGGCGUAAAGCGCGUGUAGGCGGCUUGGCAAGUCGGAUGUGAAAGCCCACGGCUCAACCGUGGAAGCGCAUCCGAAACGGCCUCGCUCGAGUCUCGGAGAGGAAGGUGGAAUGCUUGGUGUAGAGGUGAAAUUCGUAGAUAUGGGGAGGAACACCGGUGGCGAAGGCGGCCAUCUGGACGGAUACUGACGCUGAGACGCGAAAGCGUGGGUAGCAAACAGG
rnacentral:rRNA from 1 species